rnacentral:rRNA from 1 species
AUUGAACGCUGGCGGCAGGCUUAACACAUGCAAGUCGAGCGCCCCGCAAGGGGAGCGGCAGACGGGUGAGUAACACGUGGGAACGUGCCCAAAGGUACGGAACAACUCCGGGAAACUAGAGCUAAUACCGUAUGUGCCCGAGAGGGGAAAGAUUUAUCGCCUUUGGAUCGGCCCGCGUCUGAUUAGCUAGUUGGCGGUGUAAUGGACCACCAAGGCGACGAUCAGUAGCUGGUCUGAGAGGAUGACCAGCCACACUGGGACUGAGACACGGCCCAGACUCCUACGGGAGGCAGCAGUGGGGAAUAUUGGACAAUGGGCGCAAGCCUGAUCCAGCCAUGCCGCGUGAGUGAUGAAGGCCUUAGGGUUGUAAAGCUCUUUCGCCGAGGACGAUAAUGACGGUACUCGGAUAAGAAGCCCCGGCUAACUUCGUGCCAGCCGCCGCGGUAA